GGAGUCUGGGCCGUGUCUCAGUCCCAAUGUGGCCGUCCACCCUCUCAGGCCGGCUACCGAUCGUCGCCUUGGUGGGCCGUUACCCCCCCAACCAGCUAAUCGGACGCGGGCCCAUCGGAAAGCGGAUAGAAUCCUUUGAUAUACAAGGCAUGCGCCCCGUAUACAACAUUCGGUAUUAGCACCCCUUUCGGGAUGUUGUCCCCAUCUUUCCGGCAGGUUGCCCACGCGUUACUCACCCGUUUGCCGGUCGCCAUCAAAGUUUGCAAGCAAACUUCAUGCUGCCCCUCGACUUGCAUGUGUUAAGCCUGUAGCUAGCGUUCAUC
rnacentral:rRNA from 1 species